UACGUAGGGUGCGAGCGUUAAUCGGAAUUACUGGGCGUAAAGCGUGCGCAGGCGGUUCGUUGUGUCGGCGGUGAAAGCCCCGGGCUUAACCUGGGAAUGGCCGUUGAAACUGGCGAACUGGAGUGUGGCAGAGGGGGGUGGAAUUCCGCGUGUAGCAGUGAAAUGCGUAGAUAUCAGGAGGAAUACCGAUGGCGAAGGCAGGUCUCUGGGCUAGAACUGACGCUCAUGCACGAAAGCGUGGGGAGCAAACAGG
rnacentral:rRNA from 1 species